UACGGGGGGGGUAAGCGUUGUUCGGAAUUACUGGGCGUAAAGGGCUCGUAGGCGGCCAACUAAGUCGGACGUGAAAUCCCUCAGCUUAACUGGGGAACUGCGUCCGAUACUGGAUGGCUUGGAUUUGGGAGAGGGAUGCGGAAUUCCGAGUGUAGAGGUGAAAUUCGUAGAUAUUCGGAAGAACACCAGUGGCGAAGGCGGCUCACUGGACCGGUAUUGACGCUGAGGUGCGAAAGCGUGGGGAGCAAACAGG
rnacentral:rRNA from 1 species